GUCCAGACUCCUACGGGAGGCAGCAGUGGGGGAUAUUGCACAAUGGGGGAAACCCUGAUGCAGCGACGCCGCGUGGGCGAAGAAGUAUUUCGGUAUGUAAAGCCCUAUCAGCAGGGAAGAAGAAAUGACGGUAUCUGAGUAAGAAGCACCGGCUAAAUACGUGCCAGCAGCCGCGGUAAUACGUAUGGUGCAAGCGUUAUCCGGAUUUACUGGGUGUAAAGGGAGCGCAGGCGGCACGGCAAGCCUGAUGUGAAAGCCCGCGGCCCAACCGCGGGACUGCUCUUGGAACUGCGUGGCUGGAGUGCAGGAGGGGCAGGCGGAAUUCCUGGUGUAGCGGUGAAAUGCGUAGAUAUCAGGAGGAACACCGGUGGCGAAGGCGGCCUGCUGGACUGCAACUGACGUUGAGGCCCGAAAGCGUGGGGAGCAAACAGGAUUAGAUACCCGAGUAUCU
rnacentral:rRNA from 1 species